GACGAACGCUGGCGGCGUGCCUAAUACAUGCAAGUAGAACGCUGAAGCGAGGAGCUUGCUCUUCUUGGAUGAGUUGCGAACGGGUGAGUAACGCGUAGGUAACCUGCCUUGUAGCGGGGGAUAACUAUUGGAAACGAUAGCUAAUACCGCAUAACAAUGGAUGACACAUGUCAUUUAUUUGAAAGGGGCAAUUGCUCCACUACAAGAUGGACCUGCGUUGUAUCAGCUAGUAGGUGAGGUAAUGGCUCACCUAGGCGACGAUACAUAGCCGACCUGAGAGGGUGAUCGGCCACACUGGGACUGAGACACGGCCCAGACUCCUACGGGAGGCAGCAGUAGGGAAUCUUCGGCAAUGGGGGCAACCCUGACCGAGCAACGCCGCGUGAGUGAAGAAGGUUUUCGGAUCGUAAAGCUCUGUUGUAAGUCAAGAACGGGUGUGAGAGUGGAAAGUUCACACUGUGACGGUAGCUUACCAGAAAGGGACGGCUAACUACGUG
rnacentral:rRNA from 1 species